AUUACAAUGUAAGCAACAUCAAAGAAAAAAUGCAACACAAUAUUUGAUAAACUAGGUUCAACAAUUGUAUUCUAAAUCUCCAUCAAUUUCUUAUCCGUCAUAUUUUUUAGAUCUAUCAUCUAUCACGUUUUCAAUGAUUGAGAGGUUAAUGGGGAAUGGAAGUGUGACCCAGGCAGACACUCGGCCAAGCAGAGUAUUGGUGAUUAAAGGACCGGAGGAAGGUGGUGAUGGGAGAUUUUCAGUGGUGGAGGAAACGGGGGAGACAAGUGGCGGUGAUGAUGGAGAUACCAUAAGUCUUGCAGAAUUUAUUGAAACUCAAGUCCACAGCACCCCUCCCCCUGAAUGAAUGAAUGAGAUCAAUCAUAUAUUAGAAAAAAGUUCAUGAAAACAAACUUUUUUUAUAAGCCAAUAAUAAAAACAAACUUAAAUGUACUUUUAUUUUGUUAUGUUUCACUUUUCUCCCAACAAUUUAUGGAGACUAUUUAAAAUUAUUAUGUUAUGAAACUUUGAUUGA